rnacentral:rRNA from 1 species
CGCCUGUUUAUCAAAAACAUCGCCUCUUGUUCAAUUAUAGGAGGUCCAGCCUGCCCAGUGACUCUGUUCAACGGCCGCGGUAUCCUAACCGUGCGAAGGUAGCGUAAUCACUUGUUCUUUAAAUGAGGACUAGUAUGAAUGGCCCCACGAGGGCUGCACUGUCUCCUUUUUCUAAUCAAUGAAACUAAUCUCCCCGUGAAGAAGCGGGAAUUAUCCUAUAAGACGAGAAGACCCUAUGGAGCUUUAAACAAUUGAAACAUUUGCUUUUCUCCUAACUCCUCCCGAGCUCUUUAUUUUUAUUUAAGCAUUAUUAUUUCUAGUUUUAGGUUGGGGUGACCACGGAGCAAAACUAAACCUCCAUGAAGAAAUGAAUAUUUUUAAGCCACAAACUACUUUUUUAAGCAUCAACAAAUUGACCUUCAUUGACCCAAUAUAUUGAUCAACGAACCAAGUUACCCUAGGGAUAACAGCGCAAUCUACUUCAAGAGCUCAUAUCGACAAGUAGGUUUACGACCUCGAUGUUGGAUCAGGGUAUCCUAGUGGUGCAGCCGCUACUAAUGGUU